GCUUUGUUGUCAUCCAUAUGAGAUGCCCCAUAUCAUUAGAACAGGAUAAGAGUCUCUCCAUAGAGCUUAACAGAGGCAUAACUCGAGAAGCAGAAAUGGCUACUUGUAUCAUGACGGCUGCUAAAACCCCAUUAAUUGUUUCAAACUCACAAUCUUCAAACCUUCGUUCAAAUCAUCUUUUAAUCUCUUACUCAAAUCAAGUAAUCACUUUUCCAAGACUAUCUCUCAGCAUCAACAAAAAACCCCAAUUCCCAAAAUUUAGGGUUUCUGCUUCAUCAUCAUCAUCAACAGCUUCUCCUCCUAUUGUCCCAAAAUCAAACCCUGAGAAACCCAAUACUCUUCUGUCCGAUUCAAUUACAUCAAUUUUUGCAAUUGGUUUAUCAUUAUCGAGAAUCUUUCAAGGGGUUUUAAACAAGGCACCAGAAUUGGGUGGGAAUUUGGUGAAUACUGCUGGUCCAUUGUUUUUUGCUGCGAUUAGGGAAAGACCCAAAGGUUAUUUGAAUACACCACUGACUGUGGUUGCUUCUGGUAUGUCAAAAUGGCUUGAUAUUUACAGUGGGGUUUUGAUGGUGAGGGUGUUGCUCAGUUGGUUUCCUAAUGUUCCAUGGGAUCGUCAACCACUUUCUGCAAUUAGGGAUUUGUGUGAUCCUUAUCUGAAUUUGUUUCGAAAUAUUAUUCCACCAAUUUUUGAUACAUUGGAUGUCAGUCCGUUGCUUGCUUUUGCUGUUUUGGGUGUUUUGGGCUCAAUUCUUAAUAACAGCAGGGGAAUGUAUUGAUUGAUGGAUUUGGAGAUUGAUGGGGUUUUCAUAUGGUUUAUACAUCUGGGGCAGCACUAGAAUUGGAGUAUUGGAAUUCAAUUUGCCUUUACUUUUGAAGUCUUUGUUUCUAUUCUAAUCUGUAUCAAGACCCCGUCAUUCUCUCAUAGAAGAUCACCAUUUGAAUCACAAGCAUUGUCUUCAAAACCCUUGCUUUUCAAUCCCUGGAAUUCUCUGGAUCAAUUUUUUUAUGGUUUAUACCAUGUAGAGCUAGAAUUGUAGUAAGUUCUGCACUUUACGUUAAGUUUUUUGUUUCGUUUGCUAUUCUUGCUGUAAUAGUGAUUUGUGCUGAAUGUAGUAGUACUGGUUAUCAGAUACAGAGGUUUUGUGAAAGU